rnacentral:rRNA from 1 species
GUCUACUAAUUAUAGACCUGUAUGAAAGGCAAAAUGAGGGUCUAACUGUCUCUUAUGAUAAAUCAAUUAAACUGAUCUCCCAGUAAAAAAGCUGGGAUACUCACAUAAGACCAGAAGACCCUGUGAAGCUUAAAAUAAACUAUUAAACCAAAUAAUAGCUACUUUCGGUUGGGGCGACCUUGGAAAAAAAAAGAACUUCCAAAUACAAUCCACCUACAGAUCAACCAGGCUUACAAGCCAUACAACGACCCAGCAUAGCUGAUAAUUGAACCAAGUUACUCCAGGGAUAACAGCGCAAUCUUCUUCAAGAGCCCAUAUCAAAAAGAAGGUUUACGACCUCGAUGUUGGAUCAGGACAUCCUAAUGGUGCAGCCGCU